rnacentral:rRNA from 1 species
CCGUGCAAAGGUAGCGCAAUCACUUGUCUUUCAAAUGAAGACCUGUAUGAAUGGUAAAACGAAGGCUUAACUGUCUCCUUUUUCAAGUCAAUGAAAUUGAUCUGUCCGUGCAGAAGCGGACAUAAAAAUACAAGACGAGAAGACCCUAUGGAGCUUUAGACAAAAGACCACCUACGUCAAGCACAAAACCCAAGUCAAACCAAGUAGCGCCUGGUCCCAGUCUUCUGUUGGGGCGACCAUGGGAGAAAACAAAGCUCCCACGAGGACUGGGGCCACCAACCCCAAAACCAAGAAUAACCCCUCUAAGUCACAGAAUCUCUGACCAUAAUGAUCCGGGCCCACCGAUCAACGAACCAAGUUACCCUAGGGAUAACAGCGCAAUCCUCUUCCAGAGUCCAUAUCGACAAGAGGGUUUACGACCUCGAUGUUGGAUCAGGACAUCCUAAUGGUG